CGCGGCUGUGUUGCGGUCUUCGAGUAAGAAGCGGAGCCGAGUCUCGCUUUGCAAGACCUCGAGUGUGCAAUUGAUUUUCCGCAACGGGCCACCAAUUUAAUAAAUAUUUGACGUUUGUACUCCUGUCAUUGUUCAGAGGAGCGAGUCAACUACACAGCUAGCUGACACAAUCCCUUCAAACGGAAGCCCGAAAGACAGCAAGGAACUGAACCCUAGGACCAUGCCUCAGGACUACCUGGCAUGAUGACUCCUUGCUGUCCCCAGUCCACCUGGCCGUGCUGCUGCUCCAGUUUCAACUGUUCUGCCUGUGAUUAUUAUUAUUUGACCAUGCUGGUCAUUUAUGAACAUUUGAACAUCUUGGCCAUGUUCUGUUAUAAUCUCC